GGAGGAAUUCACUGAGUAGAUGUGGAAAAAUAGGACAUUCCAGACACAGAAGACAUCAUGCAAUUAAUUAAGGUAUUACAGAUUUUGAAAAAGGUAAAGACUAGAGGCAUAUUUGGGAAUGGUUUUGCAAUGGAUGUUAUUAGAAGAAAAAAGGAUGAAAGAUCCAUGUAGUACAUUUACAUGUAGAUGAAGAAGCAAAUCCGGAGACAAAAUGGAGAAGAGACCAGAUAAUUGGAAGAUUGUAAAGUCCACCAGGCAAGCCAAUAUCUGUUUCUUUUGCUGCUAUAUUUCUAAUAUCUAGAUUAGUCUAGGCAUAUAAUAGGCCCUCAGUAAAUG
rnacentral:lncRNA from 1 species